GAUAAACGCUGGCGGCGCACAUAAGACAUGCAAGUUGAACGGAAGUCGUUGUAAUGAUGUGGAAGUGAACAGAGAACUUGUUCGAAGGGAAUGGAAAUUGACUUACAACAAUGGCUUUAGUGGCGGACUGGUGAGUAAUGUAUAAGUAAUCUGCCUAUCAGAGGGGAACAACAGUUAGAAAUGACUGCUAAUACCGCAUAUGCCAUAAGGGAGACAUCUUCCAAGUGGGAAAGGAGAAAUCCGCUGAUAGAUGAGCUUAUAUCUGAUUAGCUAGUUGGUGUGGUAAGGGCAUACCAAGGCGACGAUCAGUAGCCGGACUGAGAGGUUAAACGGCCACAUUGGGACUGAGAUACGGCCCAAACUCC
rnacentral:rRNA from 1 species